rnacentral:rRNA from 1 species
GUGGGGAAUAUUGCACAAUGGGGGAAACCCUGAUGCAGCGACGCCGCGUGAGCGAAGAAGGUUUUCGAAUCGUAAAGCUCUGUCCUAUGGGAAGAUAAUGACGGUACCAUAGGAGGAAGCCCCGGCUAACUACGUGCCAGCAGCCGCGGUAAUACGUAGGGGGCAAGCGUUGUCCGGAAUCACUGGGCGUAAAGGGUUCGCAGGCGGAAAUGCAAGUCAGUUGUGAAAGGCAGAGGCUCAACCUCUGUAAGCAAUUGAAACUGUAUUUCUUGAGAUGUGGAGAGGCAAGUGGAAUUCCUAGUGUAGCGGUGAAAUGCGUAGAUAUUAGGAAGAAUACCGGUGGCGAAGGCGACUUGCUGGACACAAACUGACGCUGAGGAACGAAAGCGUGGGUAGCAAACAGGAUUAGAUACCCCUGUAGUCC